rnacentral:lncRNA from 1 species
AUGUUCCUUCUUCUGGUGCUUCUCACUGGACUUGGUGGGAUGCAUGCAGACCUCAAUCCUCAUAAAAUCUUCCUGCAGACCACAAUUCCAGAGAAGAUUUCAUCAUCGGAUGCAAAAACAGAUCCAGAACAUAAUGUUAUUUACAUGAUUACCAUAGGGAAAGCCAUAUUUUGUCCAUCUCAAAAAGCAAUCAAUUUUAUCUUCAGCUUCUGUUAUUAAUUCUUAUGACGAAAAUGACAUCCGUCAUUCCAAACCUCUGCUAGUUCAGAUGGAUUGCAAUUAUAAUGGAUAUGUUGCGGGUAUUCCAAAUUCUCUUGUGACUCUCAGCGUAUGUUCAGGACUCAGGGGAACAAUGCAGCUGAAAAACAUCUCAUAUGGAAUUGAACCGAUGGAGGCUGUAUCAGGAUUUAUACACAAGAUUUAUGAAGAAAAAUAUGCUGACACUAAUAUUCUCUUAGAAGAAAAUGACACUUAUACUUGGUUUAAUUCAGAGUAUCAAGUCAGAAAAAGUUCAGAAUUCAAACCGGCUAAUAUGAUUUGUAGGAAAUCAGUUGGUAAAGAAUGCGAUUUCACUGAAUAUUGCAAUGGGGACCUUCCAUACUGUUUGCCUGACACUUAUGUACGUGAUGGAGAAUAUUGUGAUUCAGGUGGAGCCUUCUGUUUUCAAGGAAAGUGUCGGACUUUUGACAAACAAUGUGAUGAUUUAAUUGGAAGAGGUUCAAGAGGUGCUCCGGUUUUCUGUUAUGAUGAAAUUAAUACCAGAGGAGACAAUUUUGGAAACUGUGGCACUGCACACUGUCUUUUUCAACAUAUUCUAUGUGGAAAAUUAGUCUGUACAUGGGAACACAGAGACUUAAUAUCACGUCCAAAUUUAUCUGUGAUUUAUGCACAUGUACGAGACCAAACAUGUGUGUCUACAUACCUACCCAGGAGGACGCCACCUCCAGUAAAUUCACCUAUUUCAAUCACAUCAUAUUAUUCAGCUGAAGACAGAGAUGAAACAUUUGUACAAGAUGGUUCCAUGUGUGGUCCUGAUAUGUAUUGUUUCGAAAUGCAUUGUAAACAUGUUAGAUUCCUGAUGAAUUUAAAAUUGUGUGAUGCUUCUAAUCAUUGUGAUCGUCAUGGAGUUUGCAACAAUUUUAACCAUUGCCAUUGUGAAAAGGGAUAUAAUCCUCCUUACUGCCAACCAAAGCAAGGAGCAUUUGGAAGUAUUGAUGAUGGACACUUAGUACCACCAACUGAGAGAAGUUACAUGGAGGAGGGAAGAUAGGCCACUUUUCAAAAACAACGGUUUCAACUCAUUUUCUACAUUUCUCUACCUGUGCUUCUUAUUACUACUGCCAUUUUAAUAAAACAGAAAAAAUUGAGAGAGCUAUGCUAUAGAGGGGAAAAUGAAAGUGAGAGCUCUGUGUCAGAAGAAAGCAGCAGUAACAGCAAGUCAUCCCUCAGUGAAAGCACCAGUCUCUAA